CCUGGCUCUCUGCUUUCUGCUUAGCUCUGCUGAAAUGCAAAUAUAAUCUCUCACCUCUCCCUCACAGGACAUUGCCUACACAGCAAGUUCCUCUAACUUCGUGCUCCAAGACAGGUCUCUCCUCCAGAGCUGACGGUGGAUUUACAGACCAAAGCAUGUCCCCAUGGAACUCUCACCUCCAGGGGCGUGCCUCGGAACUGCCAUCCUCCAGGGGUGACCUAGGAACUCAUACGCACCAGGACAGCACAUCGAAAGCAUGACCACUUGGCUACUUUUACAACUGAACUCUGCACAGGAAGGUGCCAACUCAACUGCCUGAGAGAGAUUUGGAUAUCCACCUUCCUGUUGACUUGCCCAGAUGUCUAUCACGGUGCCUUCCGUAUCCCAGGAGGACGUUGAACAUUGGCAGGCAUGCCUAGCUGAAAGCCGAUGCACCGAGGCCUGCUCCAUGCUAAGGCUGUAAUUCUUCACCCCAAGAAUCUUCAUUCUGGUCUUCAAGUAUUCAAGGCUUAUCCAAAGUUGCAUCAUCCAUCAUUAUUCUCGGGCAUAUUAAAGCCGUGACUUUGCUUGCCCUCAGGAAAUUAAACAUCUGUCAGUCACCAGGAGUCACAAUCCACAGAAGACAGUGAGUAGGAGGAUGCCACAGAACCCAUCGUGUUUCCUGCCGUAUUAAAGCAGGGCUGUGCUGUCAUCAGCCUGCGAUGUGCCAUUUAUUAUGCAGCACCCCAUCAUCUGGCUUCUGUCUCAACCAACAUACUGAAACUGCUUCAUAAAGUCAUCAGUGUAUUUUUAAUUGCCAAGUUGAUUGGACAUUUCACAGCCAUUAUUCCUGACUUUUAUAAGCAUUUGACAUGACUGAUCAUUCAUUUCUUGAAAUUCUGUUUUUUCCAGACGGCCGUGAUAAACACUCUGAACAUUGUUCUUGCGCUUUCACGGCUAUCCCAUUUCUUUUUUUUCUAAUGCCUUUUGUUCCUCCCCAUUCCUUGAGUAUGGGUGUUCCCCAGACCUGUUGCUUCAGUCGUGUGGUCUAAAUACAUACUUUCCCUAGGAACUGUAUUCUCUAAUGUAGAAGAAUAAUGUUCCUUUACUUAUGUAUGUUGUAUUGAUCAAGCUUUUAGUAUGACAACAUAUACUAUAUUAAGUUCUGAGGAUAAUAUCACAGGGAAAAAUCUCUGGCUUUAAGGAAUAUAUUGUCCAAUGGGAGAAACAUAAAAGCAAGCAAGCAAUUACAAGGCAAUGAACUACUGUGAUGAUGGGGAUGUACAGGGUUCAGGGCACACACAGGAGGAUAGCUAACUUACACUUGGGAAAUUAGAGAAGAUUCUCAUAGGAAAAAAAUCACCAAUGUGUCAUCAUAAUAAUAACAGAAGCAGUAGGGCAUUCCAAGCCAAGACAGCACUGUGCUUGAGGAGCUGUAAUUCAGCUACAUAGUUCAGUAGAUCAGCUAUUGAAUCAAGGACAAUAGGAGAGGUUGGGUCACACAGAUGCUGAACAAUCAACCUACUGGGAUGAAGGACAUUGUGUGCACCACUGCAGCCUUUGGUUCUCACGCCGACAGCCCUGAGGAUUCACAGACUUCAAAGAAGAGCAUGACUUAAUGUUUCAGAAGGUUUUUGGAAGCUCACUCCAUACAAAAGAAGGAUUAGAAGUAGGAUAUACAGUUAGCAAUCAGCACCCACGGGCUCUGCAUCCAUGGGUUCAACCACGUGCAGAUUGAAAAGGCAGUUAGGCCUAUGAUCAUUGCAUCUCUACUGAAAAAUGUACAGACUUGAUGUUAUUCCCCAAACGAUACAGUAAAACAACUGUUUCCAUAGCAUUUACAUCACGUUAGGUAUUAUAGGCAGUCUAGAGAUGGUUUAAGUACACGGAGUAUGUGUGUCAGUGACAUGCAAACAAGACACCGUUUUGUAUAAGGGACUUGAGCAUCUGUGGAUUUUGGUAAAAAAAUUCAUGGGGUUCCUGGAAGCAAUCCCUAGCAGAUACCAAGGGAUGACUGAAUUUGAGAUAAGAACAAUAUCUAAGAACUCUCCAGCUCAGUUUGAUAAAAUAUUACUUAAGCCUACUAUGUACCAAGCACUUUAAAGUGCUGAGUGUUAAAGGCUUGCUUAAGAGUAAUGUGUAUAGUAAAAUCCCAUUAAAUCAAAGCCAAACAUCAAAGAAAAACAAAAAAGAACUCUAAUGUUCUUUUAAGUAUGUGUGUAACCUAUGUUUAUACAUGUAGUAUUAUUCUGGAGUAAACUACUGUAACUGGGCUGGGUGUGGUGGCUCGGGCCCAUAAUCCUGGCACGUUGGGAGGCCAGGGCGGGUGGAUCACGAAGUCAAGAGAUCGAGACCAUCCUGGCCAACAUGGUGAAACCUGGUCUCUACUAAAAACACAAAAAUUAUCUGUGUGUGGUGGUGCACGCCUGUAGUCCCAGCUACUCGGGAGGCUGAGGCAGGAGAAUCGCUUGAACCUGGGAGGUGGAGGUUGCAGUGAGCUGAGAUUGUGCUGUUGCACUCCAGCCUGGGUGACAGAGUGAGACUCCAUCUCAAAAAAAAAAACUGCGUAACUCAGUUACCCAAACCAAAAAUGCUUCACUCUUUAGUUUCCUCUUCCUCAUAUCCAGUUAUCCCAUCUGUUCCAAUUCUAAAGGAGCCCUUGUAUACGCUUAUUUUUCUAUCUGCAUUGCCACCGUCCCAAUCUACACCACCACCACCUCUUGCCUAACCUCUGCCAUUAGUGUCUUAACUUGCUCUUGGGUUUCUAUGCUUCUUCCCCUAUGAGCUCUUCUCCACCUGGCAGACAGAAUAAUCUUCAUGUGAGUGAGUCCGACUGUAUCAUUCCGCACCUGAAAUCCUCCAAUGACUUCUCACUGCAUUUAAGAUGAAGUGAAACUCUGUCCCACGCCCUAUAAGGCCUCAUGUAAUCUGACCCUGCACACUUCUUUACUCUCUUCUUAUGCUGUUCUGCUCCACCCACUUCUCCAACUAUAUGCACUCAAUGAUUCAGCAGUUUUUAGAAUAGGCUGUGAUAUUCUCACAUAUUUCUAUCUAUAAGAUACAUACUUUUCACCGCCUCCACCGUUCCACCCUGAUCCAUAACACCACCAUUUCGUGACUGGCUACUCAAUUUCUUAUCUGGGCUUCCUGCUUCUGUUUUUCCGUACAGCAGCCAAAGUGACUCUGUCAAAAUGUAAACCAAAUUAUGUUGCUCUCCUGCUAAAAUCCUUCAAUAGCAUCUCAUCACAUUUAAAAUAAAAUUCAAUACCCUGACCCUAAUUAACCAAACCUCACAUACCUAACUGGCUCCUCCCUAGCCUCCGCUUCCUCCUGUGGCCCCCAUUCCACCUCGCCACAGCCACCUGGACUCCCCACUGUUCUUCCAACAUAGCAAUGCACCUAAGAUCCCCACUGCUCCCCUGCCAGGAGCCCUCUGUCCCGAGACAUCUUUGGGGCUCUUGCCUUCAUGUCAAUUUUCUAUUCAAAUAGCAUCUCCUUAAAAAGACCUUCCCUGGCCACUCCCACAUCCUUACACUUCCCCUAGUCACUACCUUUUUUUAAAAAAAAAGAACUUUAUUGAGGCUGGGCGUGGUGGCUCUCGCCUGUAAUCUCAGCACUUUGGGAGGCUGUGGCGGGCAGAUCACUUGAGGACAGGAGAUCAAGACCAGCUUGGCCAACAUGGUAAAAUCCCAUCUCUACUAAAAAUACAAAAAUUAGCCAAGCGCAGUAACGCACACCUGUAGUACCAGCUACUUGGGAGGCGGAGGCAGGAGAAUUGCUUGAACCAGGGAGGCAGAGGUUGCAGUGGGCCGAGAUCAUGCCACUGCACUCCAGCCUGGGCAACAGAGCAAGACACUGUCUCAAAAAGAAAAAUAAAAAAUAAAAAGACCUUUAUUGAGAUAUAAUUUACAUAUCAUAAAAUUCAUCUAAUUUUCAAUUCAAUGAUUUUAGUAUGAUUCAGUGAUUUUAGUAAACUUGCUUAGUCUGCAACCAUCACCAUAAUCCAGUUUUAGAACAUUUCCAUCUUUCCAGUAAGUUCCCUCAGGCCAGUCAGCAGUGAAUCCCCAUUCCCUCUCUCAGCCCUGGGUAAAUGAAACUGACCCAGUGGUCUCAUAGAUAUUUUCUGAUAAAUAUAGGAAUUGACCCUUCUAAUCUUAAAGCUUGAAACUUAUAUUUGUUUAAUCUGAGUUCCUCCCUCAGAAAAUGACCAUCAGGUCUCUCAAAAAAAAGUAUCAAACAACUGAAACUCACCAGAUCAUCACAUCCAGACAAUGAGAUGCCAGACCCCUCAUUCACCGUGAUGGCUUCCUUGCGUCUCCCUAGUUCCUGUUUUCUUACACACAGUUGCAUUUUUUUUCCCUGUUAUAUAAACUCCUGGUUUUAGCAGGUCAGGGAGGUGGAUUUGAGAGUGAGUUUCCAUCUCCUCAGCUGCAGCACCUGAUUAAAGAUUCUUCCUUGGCAAUACUCGUCGUCUCAAUCAUUGGCUUUCUGUGCAGCGAGUAGCAGGACCUUGACCGAACCCCUGGUGUUUCGGUAACAUAAACACUAAUCUACCUUCUUUUUCCAUAGAUUUGCCUUUUCUAAACAUCCCGUAUGAACAGAAUGGUUAAAAUAUGUGGUCUUUGAAACCUGUCUUCUUGAUAUAUUAUACUUAAAAUAAUGCGUUCAACUAAUUCUAUUGAACAUUCACUCUAUGCCAUAUAUAUAGUAAUAUUACAUAUAUAUAAUCCCAUGCUCUAGUGAGGAGAAUAGAGUGAACAAAUCAUCAUACAAACAAUGUCAAAUUUCAUGGAAGUUUCAUGAUGCUCUGGGAGCAUGGCUGGGAGUGGGGAAGGCUUGCCUGUGGAGCAGUAUUUGACUGUGACUGAAGAAUAGCAGUUAGCUAGGCAAAGGGCAAGUGUUUCAGAUAGAGGGGUCAGGACAUGCCUAAUAAUAGAAGGGAGUGUGUUUAACACGACUGCUGGAGAAAGUACUUGGCUGGAGCUCUGAGAGGGAAAGAAGGACGGUGGAGACAAGGCUUUCCCAUCACUUUCUAUCCCUGUAUGUAUGUUAUUUCACUAUUCUCUCAAAAGUUAUCACUAGCUGACAUUGCAGUGUGUAUAUACUGUUUGCAUCCUUCAUUACAACAUAAACUUAUUGAGAGUAUAAACUUCGAUUUGUUUUAUUACUAUUAUUCCAAUAUUUAGAAGAGGGUUUGACAUAAUAAGCAUUCAAUAAAUACUUGUUGAAUGAAAAAAUCGAAUAAGAGAUUGGGGAGCCCUAAUAAUUAACACAUUAAGAAUGCAGACAUUUGUUAAUUAGAAUAAAUUAAGUAGCUUCUGAGAGCCGUCUUACGCAACAUCUUAAUACAGCUAAGCUAUGUUCAGAUGAGAGGAAUUCGGUGAAAUAAUGAAUUUGGGGGGGAAAUACUAGCAGAUUUACUUUUUAACUAAUAAUAGACUGGAAAUAUUUAAAGUAUAAUGAACUACUUAACAUUGUUAUAUGUUAAUAACUUCUUUAAAUUGAUCAAUGAUUUUUAUUAGUGAUAUCUUUUGAAUACUAAUUUCAUUCUUUUUUGACCUCAUAGAUUAAUUUCAUAAAUGCAAUCAGCUGAAUGUAACUUAAUAAAGAUGUGGCUUCCAACAUUUAAAUGUUGUCAGGAAGAAAAACAAUGACUUUCUUAGUUAUUUUCAUAAAACAAGAUGACUUUCUGUGGAGUAAUUCUCAUAAGAGAGUAAGUACAGGGUGAAUAAAAUAUGCUAGAAACAUGUAUCUAUUUCAAAAGUAUAUUUAAAUAGGAUUUUUUUAAUAAUAAGCCACAUUUUAGGUCCAUGGAUUUCAAUACACUUUUUCUUUAGAAAAAAAAUCAAAUUUUUAUGACUUCAUUUAGUUUUAAUAAAAAUAUUUUAUUUAAUAAAAUUAUAUUGUAUAAGGUCAUUCAUACUAUAUUGAUGAUUGCUCCAAUUAUGAAACCUAGCCAAAUUUAGACAGGUUUCAAAUAAAUCAGUGCUUUUAAAAAAGUAAGCCCCAAUUGUACAUUGUGUUAUAAACUGAAAGUCUUAUGUUAUGGAAACAAAGAUGUUACUUCUCAAAAACAAUGUAAUUAUCAUUUCAAGGUGGCAAGUCAAUCUAGAAAUCAGAUUCCAUUGAGAUGCUGUAAAAGUUCUGUUUAUCACAAAAUAAGUCAACAGAUUCAAAAUCGUCUCUAAACAACAGAUCGAUAAAAAUGCCUAAAAAUAUCAUUUAAUUUAUUCCAAAGUAUUUCCUGAGGACAUUCUUUUCAGGAAAGGCUGCUUGCUUUAGGAUUCCAAACAAACGAAGCCCAGAAGCUUCCCGGAAAGCCCUGAAGGUGCUCCUGGAAGAAUGUGCUCUCUGCAGCUGUGUAAACAAUGAUGUUGACGCAGAAUUGGAAAUGCCCAUUUUUGAAAGGGACCUGCAACCAACCAUUUGAAACCAGCACGUUGCCUGAUAUUCCCACUAAAUGUCUAAUCAGUAAAUGUUAGUAAGAAAAAUAUUUUCCUCCAAAGGACAAGUUAGAGCUUUGUAUAGUGUCAGUAGUUAAAAGUUUUUCUGUAUAACCACAAAUCAUAUCGUCCCCAACUAUCAAAUCUACUUUUACCCCUUAGGGUCAUUCAGGAAGAAAAAUAAGCUCACCUUGGGGACGGACUAGUCACUGGAGGUAAAGAAGAGAAUGGAAUCUAGGGUGGCUCUUAGACUUACAGCUUGUAUUUAUAUGAGACUGCGCAUGGUAAAUAAGGUUUUAAGUGGCAUGUGUUAUAGUUGUCAAAUUUGUAGAAACAUACACAUUGAUGCAUUAUAAUUAUUCUGCCUUUAAACAAAGUGCUUAAUACCACAUUUAAAUUGCAAAUGUUGACUUCAAUCGAAUCUCCUGAUGUUAAUAAAAUAUUAGAAACUCUAUCAAAUAUAAUUCUUAUGAUUAUGAUAAUACAGUUUUUUAGAGGCCAAAUUUUCUUCAGUUCCAAGAAUCCUACAGCACGUGUAUGAGGAAUAUUUCUAUCUUAAUAGAUACCUUUGUGUCCAGCAGUAGAAAAGUAUCCACAUGCCACUUUGCAGUAAGUAUAAAAUAAAAAUAUAAAGAUGCAAACACUUCACACAAUGCAAUGUCCUUCCUUGAUUUUUUGUGAAGAAAACUAUACAUGUGUUUGUGGACUAGCUGUGUAUAUAAUCAGGUCCUAAUAUUAACAGAAAACAAAAGAACUGAGGUGCAAACAGGGAAAAGGGAAAACAGACAAUGCAAGAAAAAGUUGAGGAUGACAGAAGCAGGGAAGGCUGUCCAAAGUGACACAAAAGUGAUAGCAUGGCUCAGUGAGAAUGCUGAGAACUUCAGACUUUAAAAACAGAGAAAGCCUCUUCUGGAAGUAUACAACUUGAGUAUCUCUGAGAGUGUGUGGGUGAAUGUGUUUGUGUGUCAUGAUAGUGAAUGAGGAGAGUUCACACACAAAAAUUUGAAAUUAAUUGUUCCUAAAGUAUGUAUUAGCCUGCUAUUGCUGCCAUAAUAAAUUAACACAACACCUAUUUAUUAUCUCAUAGGUUCCAUGAGUUGGAAGUCUGAGUACAGCAUGGCUUGACUGGGUUCUCUAUAUAGGGGCACACAAGGUGCAAGUCAAGCUGUCAGCUGGCCUGGGCUCUUCUUUGGAGCCUCUGAGGGAGAACCUGCUUCCAGGCUCAUUUAGAUUGUUGGCAGAAUUCAGCUCCAUGUUGCUACAGGA
rnacentral:lncRNA from 10 species